AACGUAGGAGACAAACGUUAUCCGGAGUUACUGGGCGUAAAGGGCGUGUAGGCGGUCUGUUAAGUCUGGCGUGAAAGCUCUCGGCUAAACCGGGAGAGGUCGUUGGAUACUGGCAGACUAGAGGACGGUAGAGGCGAGUGGAAUUCCUGGUGUAGCGGUGGAAUGCGCAGAUAUCAGGAGGAACACCAAUAGCGAAGGCAGCUCGCUGGGACGUUACUGACACUGAGGCGCGAAAGCGUGGGGAGCGAACAGG
rnacentral:rRNA from 1 species